UACAGAGGGGGCAAGCGUUGUUCGGAAUUACUGGGCGUAAAGCGUGCGCAGGCGGUGAUGUAAGACCGAUGUGAAAUCCCCGGGCUUAACCUGGGAACUGCAUUGGUGACUGCAUUGCUGGAGUAUGGCAGAGGGGGGUGGAAUUCCACGUGUAGCAGUGAAAUGCGUAGAGAUGUGGAGGAACACCGAUGGCGAAGGCAGCCCCCUGGGCCAAUACUGACGCUCAUGCACGAAAGCGUGGGGAGCAAACAGG
rnacentral:rRNA from 1 species